rnacentral:rRNA from 1 species
GUGCUAAUACCGUAUAACAAUCAAAACCGCAUGGUUUUGAUUUGAAAGGCGCUUUCGGGUGUCGCUGAUGGAUGGACCCGCGGUGCAUUAGCUAGUUGGUGAGGUAACGGCUCACCAAGGCCACGAUGCAUAGCCGACCUGAGAGGGUGAUCGGCCACAUUGGGACUGAGACACGGCCCAAACUCCUACGGGAGGCAGCAGUAGGGAAUCUUCGGCAAUGGACGAAAGUCUGACCGAGCAACGCCGCGUGAGUGAAGAAGGUUUUCGGAUCGUAAAACUCUGUUGUUAGAGAAGAACAAGGAUGAGAGUAACUGUUCAUCCCUUGACGGUAUCUAACCAGAAAGCCACGGCUAACUACGUGCCAGCAGCCGCGGUAAUACGUAGGUGGCAAGCGUUGUCCGGAUUU